GAUGAAGAUCCAAUGAUCGGUAAAAUGGGAAUUUUAUCGAUCACUGGAGCUUCACCCAAACUGAAACUGUACUGGCUAGGUUUUCUUUGUGGUUUCCCUACGCCACUACACCUCCAUUGCACAAGGGAGGUUGUAGGGUAUCACCGUAAUGAUGCAGUACAGUAUAAGCACAAGUCGGGCCACAGCCACACAAUGAAGGCAGAAAGAGAAGUAAAGCAGUUGCGAUAUAAAGGCAAAAAGUGUAAAAGGCCGUUACUACGGCUAUAUACUAGAAAACAAUUAAAAAAAAAAUAAUAUUCCUCAGACGUCGUAUAUCAAUUCAAACUAUUCCACACUCUGUUAGUUUUAAAUGUUUUCGACAGUAAAAAAUACGAGACACCGGCUUUGUUAAGAUGCGAGAUCCUGCGUAAAAUAUCAACAUUGAGUGAAGUCUUUCCAGAAAGCAAAUGUCUAUUCUAUAUGAUGUAAUAAAUUAUUUUGGUUUAUAAUUUAUUUGAAUAUUUAUAAAACGAUAAAAAUCAGUCGUAUACCCUUCGUCGUUCCGCACACAAAAAAAGGAAUUCUUG